UACGUAGGGCGCAAGCGUUGUCCGGAAUUAUUGGGCGUAAAGGGCUCGUAGGCGGUUUGUCGCGUCUGCCGUGAAAACCCGAGGCUUAACCUCGUGGCUUGCGGUGGAUACGGGCAGACUAGAGGUAGGUAGGGGAGAAUGGAAUUCCCGGUGUAGCGGUGAAAUGCGCAGAUAUCGGGAGGAACACCGGUGGCGAAGGCGGUUCUCUGGGCCUUACCUGACGCUGAGGAGCGAAAGCGUGGGGAGCGAACGGG
rnacentral:rRNA from 1 species